AGCGAAGUUCCCACUUUCUACGUUCACACAUUACAGUGGAAGAGGAAGUUAAAAUUGAGAAAUUGAAAGUACAUUGAAAAGAUGGUUGUGUUUGGUCCUAUUUGCGCGUUAUGUUUAGUUUAGAGCUAGUUAUAGUCUAAUUUAUUUUCUUCUUCCCUAAAGUUGAUUAGCCUUAUUUUGCAUUCAUGCAUAUUGUAUUAAAUUAGUCUUUAUUGGUCUCUUGCAAAAUGUACAUACGUGGGUGAAGGUGGGAGGGACGGCACGCAAAAGGAACAUUUAGGGUUUUUGUGGUCUGUAUUUAUGCUUGCUUCCUUGUGCGAGUAAGCCACCUCAGACACAUUUUAUUGGUAUGGACAUUGGUUCAUUUUGAUCUGUCUGAACUGCGAACGAAGCCUCAGGGCCAUUUGAAAAGUUUAGAUCGUUGUUUUGUUGAAGUUUGUUAAGGACAAAAAGCCACUACAGUUGUAAUGGCAGAAGAAAAUAUCUACGCCAACGUCCCCAGAACAGCAAGACAACUCAAAGACUUUGAAGUUGAAGCUCCACAGAGAAGACCAAAGGUGACAGUAAAGAAAGUGGCUCUGGCGGUGGUCAUUGUGCUACUUGUGACUGCUGUUGCCACUUGUGUUGGAGUCAUCGUGCAUUAUAACAGGGCAUCCAAAAUAAACACAGAGACAAUGGCAGAAACUACAAAUGUCUCAGUCGAUUAUAGCACUGGAAUCGAAACAACCUCAAAAGAGAUGACCACAGGUAGGAGAAAGAUUUAAAUUAUUUGUUUGGUCAUUGAACAAUAUUAGUUCAGACCAUUUUUAGGCCCGAGCGCCAUCAGGGCUGGCGAAGGGGCUCUUGUACUCAUAUAGAGUAGCGGAGCGCACAAAACGAGCGCGAAGCCCUCGCCUCCUCUCAAACAUACACUAACGCACUCCUCUCAUCGUGCACGUUCCGUGCACGUGCACAUGUAUCAGAAAACGAAUAUUGUAAUUGGACAGCAGUGUACGAAGCGACCCAGGAC
rnacentral:lncRNA from 1 species